GAUCAAGUUAUUAAGGGCAUAAGGUGAAUGCCUUGGCAUCCAGAGCCGAUGAAGGACGUGAUAAGCUGCGAUAAGCUGCGUUUAGUUGCAAAUGAACUUUGAAGCGCAGAUUUCCGAAUGGGGCAACCCACUAUGUGAAGACAUAGUACCACCAUGUGAAUAUAUAGCAUGGUAGGAGGGAACCCGGCGAACUGAACCAUCUAAGUAACCGGAGGAAGAGAAAGAAAAAUCGAUUCUCCUAGUAGCGGCGAGCGAACGGGGAACAGCCCGCGUAUUAAGAUAUAUAGUGUUUAGCAGAAGUGUAUGGGAAGGCACACCAAAGAAGGUUAUAGUCCUGUAAGCGAAAAGCAUUAUAUAGUUGAUACGCCUUGCGAGUACCACGGGACACGUGAAACCCUGUGGGAAUUUGGGAGGCCCACCUCCCAAGGCUAAAUACUACUGGAUGACCGAUAGAGAAUAGUACCGUGAGGGAAAGGUGAAAAGUACCCCGGGAGGGGAGUGAAAUAGAACCUGAAACCUUAUGCCUACAAGCAACCAGAGCGCAAGUGAUGGUGUGCUUUUUGUAGAACGAGCCAGCGAGUUACGGUGUGUAGCGAGGUUAAGCUGUUAAGCAGCGAAGCCGUAGGGAAACCGAGUCUGAAUAGGGCGAAAGUUGCAUGCUGUAGACCCGAAACCGUGUGAUCUACCCAUGUCCAGAGUGAAGCGAAGGUAAAACUUCGUGGAGGCUCGAACCGGUGUCUGUGAAAAAGGCUCGGAUGAGGUGUGGGUAGGGGAGAAAUUCCAAUCGAACACGGAGAUAGCUGGUUCUCCCCGAAAUAGCUUUAGGGCUAGCGUGUGACGAUGAAUAAUGGAGGUAGAGCACUGAAUUGGCUAGGGGGCGUCUUGCUUACUGAACCAUAUCAAACUCCGAAUGCCAUAUAUUUUAGUCAUGCAGUCAGACUGUGAAAGAUAAGUUCCAUGGUCGAAAGGGAAACAGCCCAGACCUUCAGCUAAGGUCCCAAAAUUCUGAUUAAGUGGGAAAGGAUGUAUAAUUGCUAAGACAGCCAGGACGUUGGCUUAGAAGCAGCCACUCAUUUAAAGAGUGCGUAAUAGCUCACUGGUCGAGUGAUUAUGCGCCGAAAAUAACCGGGGCUAAAAUCAGAUACCGAAGCUAAGGAUUAGUUUUACUAGUGGUAGGGGAGCAUUGUGUAAAGGGUGAAGCCGAAACGUAAGUAUCCGGUGGACGUUACACAAGAGAGAAUGCUGGCAUGAGUAGCGAGAGUAUAGUGAGAAUCUAUACCAUCGAAAACCUAAGGUUUCCCGGGCAAGGUUCGUCCCCCCGGGGUUAGUCGGGACCUAAGGCGAGGCCGAAAGGCGUAGUCGAUGGACAACUGGUUGAUAUUCCAGUACCGAAUAUGUUUGUUUGAGAGAUGGAGUGACACAGAAGGAUAAGUUAUCCCAGCUGUUGGAUAUGCUGGGUCAAGUAGUGAGGGUGUACGGUAGGCAAAUCCGCCGUGCAUAAGCCUGAGCUGUGAUGAGUACCGAAAUUUCAGUAGGGAAGUAACUGAUUUCACGCUGGCAAGAAAAGCUUCUAUCGAGAACAUGUUCGCCCGUACCGUAAACCGACACAGGUAGGUGAGGAGAGAAUCCUAAGAUGAGCGAGAGAAGUGUUGUUAAGGAACUCGGCAAAAUAACCCCGUAAGUUCGCGAGAAGGGGUCCCUGUGAGAGCAGGGCGCAGUGAAAAGGUCCAGGCGACUGUUUACCAAAAACACAGGUCUAUGCAAAAUCGAAAGAUGAAGUAUAUGGGCUGACGCCUGCCCGGUGCUGGAAGGUUAAGGGGAUCUGUUAGCGCAAGCGAAGCAGUGAACUUAAGCCCCAGUAAACGGCGGCCGUAACUAUAACGGUCCUAAGGUAGCGAAAUUCCUCGUCAGGUAAGUUCUGACCCGCACGAAAGGCGUAACGAUCUGGACACUGUCUCGACAACACACUCGGUGAAAUUGUAGUACCGGUAAAGAUGCCGGUUACCCGCGACCGGACGGAAAGACCCCGUAGAGCUUUACUAUAGCUUGGCACUGAAUUUCGGUAUUGUAUGUACAGGAUAGGUGGGAGACUUAGAAACUAGGACGCCAGUCUUGGUGGAGUCGUCCUUUGGAUACCACCCUUAUAAUGCUGGAAUUCUAACCUGAUACCGUAAUCCGGUAUAGGGACACUGUCAGGUGGGUAGUUUGACUGGGGCGGUCGCCUCCUAAAGAGUAGCGGAGGCGCCCAAAGGUUCCCUCAAAAUGGUUGGAAACCAUUUAUUAGAGUGUAAAGGCAGAAGGGAGCUUGACUGCGAGACAUACACGUCGAGCAGGUACGAAAGUAGGGCUUAGUGAUCCGGCGGUUCCGAGUGGAAGGGCCGUCGCUUAACGGAUAAAAGUUACCUCGGGGAUAACAGGCUUAUCUCCCCCAAGAGUCCACAUCGACGGGGAGGUUUGGCACCUCGAUGUCGGCUCGUCGCAUCCUGGAGCUGAAGCAGGUUCCAAGGGUUGGGCUGUUCGCCCAUUAAAGCGGCACGCGAGCUGGGUUCAGAACGUCGUGAGACAGUUCGGUCCCUAUCCGUCGUGGGCGUAGGAUACUUGAGAGGAGCUACCCCUAGUACGAGAGGACCGGGGCGGACUGACCUCUGGUGCACCGGUUGUCACGCCAGUGGCAUAGCCGGGUAGCUAAGUCGGGACGGGAUAAGCACUGAAGGCAUCUAAGUGCGAAGCCCCCCUCAAGAUUAGGUAUCCCUUUCUUUAUGAAGUAAGAGCCCUGAUAGACUAUCAGGUUGAUAGGUCGCAUGUGUAAGUGCAGUAAUGUACUCAGCUGAGCGAUACUAAUUGCUCGAGGACUUGAUCUA
rfam:Anaerofustis stercorihominis DSM 17244 Scfld_02_0 genomic scaffold, whole genome shotgun sequence.